AUUGAACGCUGGCGGCAUGCUUUACACAUGCAAGUCGAACGGUAACAGGCCGCAAGGUGCUGACGAGUGGCGAACGGGUGAGUAAUGCAUCGGAACGUGCCCAGUCGUGGGGGAUAACGCAGCGAAAGCUGUGCUAAUACCGCAUACGAUCUAUGGAUGAAAGCGGGGGACCGUAAGGCCUCGCGCGCUUGGAGCGGCCGAUGUCAGAUUAGGUAGUUGGUGGGGUAAAGGCCCACCAAGCCAACGAUCUGUAGCUGGUCUGAGAGGACGACCAGCCACACUGGGAAUGAGACACGGCCCAGACUACUACGGGAGGCAGCAGUGGGGAAUUUUGGACAAUGGGCGCAAGCCUGAUCCAGCAAUGCCGCGUGCAGGAAGAAGGCCUUCGGGUUGUAAACUGCUUUUGUACGGAACGAAACGGUCUGGGUUAAUACCCUGGGCUAAUGACGGUACCGUAAGAAUAAGCACCGGCUAACUACGUGCCAGCCGCCGCAGUAACAC
rnacentral:rRNA from 1 species